rnacentral:rRNA from 1 species
CACGUAGGGGGCGAGCGUUGUCCGGAUUUAUUGGGCGUAAAGAGCUCGUAGGCGGUUUCGUAAGUCGGAUGUGAAAACUCCAGGCUCAACUUGGAGACGCCAUUCGAUACUGCGAUGACUUGAGUCCGGUAGGGGGAGUGUGGAAUUCCUGGUGUAGCGGUGAAAUGCGCAGAUAUCAGGAGGAACACCGGGUGGCGAAGGCGGGUCUCUGGGCCAUACUGACGUUCAGGUACGAAAGCGUGGGUAGCAAACAGG